rnacentral:rRNA from 1 species
UACGGAGGGAGCUAGCGUUGUUCGGAAUUACUGGGCGUAAAGCGCACGUAGGCGGCUCAGCAAGUCAGGGGUGAAAUCCCGGGGCUCAACCCCGGAACUGCCCUUGAAACUGCUAAGCUAGAAUCCUGGAGAGGCGAGUGGAAUUCCGAGUGUAGAGGUGAAAUUCGUAGAUAUUAGGAAGAACACCAGUGGCGAAGGCGGCUCACUGGCCCGGUACUGACGCUCAUGUGCGAAAGCGUGGGGAGCAAACAGG